AAACAAUGAUGAGCUUUCACUUCAGGUCCGUGUUUUUGAUCGGAAUGAUAUUAGACGAAGUUCUGAGCUA
rnacentral:snoRNA from 1 species